rnacentral:ncRNA from 2 species
CUCUUAUUGAGAGAAGGCGGAGGGACUGGCCCUAUGAUGCCCGGCAACCCUCGCAUCGGGAUAAACGAUGCGAAACGGUGCUAAAUCCUACACAUAAUCGUGCUGUACUGAUUUAUGUGAGAGAUAAGAG